UUUCGAUAGCGUAAAAGUUAACUGAAAUUUGUAUGGAGUCGGAACGUUUGCCUACGUUUGCCGCUAGGGGCGCUGUUCCAACUCCAUACCAAUUUAAGUUAACUUUUUCGCUAUCGA
rnacentral:pre_miRNA from 9 species